rnacentral:rRNA from 1 species
AUUGAACGCUGGCGGCAGGCCUAACACAUGCAAGUCGAGCGGAUGAAGGGAGCUUGCUCCUGGAUUCAGCGGCGGACGGGUGAGUAAUGCCUAGGAAUCUGCCUGGUAGUGGGGGAUAACGUCCGGAAACGGGCGCUAAUACCGCAUACGUCCUGAGGGAGAAAGUGGGGGAUCUUCGGACCUCACGCUAUCAGAUGAGCCUAGGUCGGAUUAGCUAGUUGGUGGGGUAAAGGCCUACCAAGGCGACGAUCCGUAACUGGUCUGAGAGGAUGAUCAGUCACACUGGAACUGAGACACGGUCCAGACUACUACGGGAGGCAGCAGUGGGGAAUAUUGGACAAUGGGCGAAAGCCUGAUCCAGCCAGGCCGCGUGUGUGAAGAAGGUCUUCGGAUUGUAAAGCACUUUAAGUUGGGAGGAAGGGCAGUAAGUUAAUACCUUGCUGUUUUGACGGUACCAACAGAAUAAGCACCGGCUAACUUCGUG